rnacentral:rRNA from 1 species
UCAAGCGAACAAGUGCAUGUGGUGGAUGCCUUGGCGAUCACAGGCGAUGAAGGACGCGGUAGCCUGCGAAAAGCUUCGGGGAGCUGGCAAACGAGCUUUGAUCCGGAGAUGUCCGAAUGGGGAAACCCGGCCCGUAUGGGUCAUCCCUGACUGAAUACAUAGGUCAGGGAAGCGAACGCGGCGAACUGAAACAUCUAAGUAGCUGCAGGAACAGAAAUCAACCGAGAUUCCCAGAGUAGUGGCGAACGAAAUGGGAAGAGCCUUGUACUCUUUAGCAGUGUUGUUAGCAGAACGGGAUGGAAAGCCCGGCCAUAGCAGGUGAUAGCCCUGUAUGCGAAAACAGCGUUGUGGAACUAGGUGUACGACAAGUAGGGCGGGACACGUGAAAUCCUGUCUGAAGAUGGGGGGACCAUCCUCCAAGGCUAAAUACUCGUGAUCGACCGAUAGUGAACCAGUACCGUGAGGGAAAGGCGAAAAGAACCCCGGGAGGGGAGUGAAAUAGAUCCUGAAACCGCAUGCAUACAAACAGUCGGAGCCUGGAAACGGGUGACGGCGUACCUUUUGUAUAAUGGGUCAGCGACUUACAUUCAGUGGCGAGCUUAACCGAUUAGGGCAGGCGUAGCGAAAGCGAGUCCGAACAGGGCGAUUAGUCGCUGGGUGUAGACCCGAAACCAGAUGAUCUAUCCAUGGCCAGGUUGAAGGUGCGGUAACACGUACUGGAGGACCGAACCCACUAACGUUGAAAAGUUAGGGGAUGAGCUGUGGAUAGGGGUGAAAGGCUAAACAAAUCUGGAAAUAGCUGGUUCUCUCCGAAAACUAUUUAGGUAGUGCCUCGUGUGUCACCUUCGGGGGUAGAGCACUGUCAUGGUUGGGGGGUCUAUUGCUGAUUACCCCGCCAUAGCAAACUCCGAAUACCGAAGAGUGCAAUCACGGGAGACAGACAUCGGGUGCUAACGUCCGGUGUCAAGAGGGAAACAACCCAGACCGCCAGCUAAGGUCCCCAAGAUUGGCUAAGUGGGAAACGAAGUGGGAAGGCUAAAACAGUCAGGAGGUUGGCUUAGAAGCAGCCACCCUUUAAAGAAAGCGUAAUAGCUCACUGAUCGAGUCGUCCUGCGCGGAAGAUGUAACGGGGCUAAGCCAGUCACCGAAGCUGCGGA